rnacentral:rRNA from 1 species
UACGUAGGGUGCGAGCGUUGUCCGGAAUUACUGGGCGUAAAGAGCUCGUAGGUGGUUUGUCGCGUUGUCCGUGAAAACUCACAACUCAAUUGUGGGCGUGCGGGCGAUACGGGCAGACUGGAGUACUGCAGGGGAGACUGGAAUUCCUGGUGUAGCAGUGAAAUGCGUAGAUAUCAGGAGGAAUACCGAUGGCGAAGGCAGGUCUCUGGGCUAACACUGACGCUCAUGCACGAAAGCGUGGGGAGCAAAAGGG